rnacentral:tRNA from 1 species
CUUUCGGGGCGGCUUGCCCUCCGCUACCCCCUUCCCGGGGGGGGGCUUCGGGGCGAGGUGGACCUGGGGGAGGGGCGCUUCCUCCUCCAAGGA